UACGGGGGGAGCAAGCGUUGUUCGGAUUUACUGGGCGUAAAGGGCGCGUAGGCGGCCAGCACAAGUCGGUUGUGAAAUCUCCGGGCUUAACUCGGAAAGGUCAACCGAUACUGCGCGGCUAGAGUGCGGAAGGGGCAACUGGGAAUUCUCGGUGUAGCGGUGAAAUGCGUAGAUAAUCGAGAGGAACACCUGCGGCGAAAGGCGGGUUGCUG
rnacentral:rRNA from 1 species